AUUCAUCAGCGAGAGGGGACCUGAAAGCAGGUCGCCAUCUGUGAGGAUUAAAGUUAGGACCAAAUGCUGCUCAGAAAUUGUUUUAAUCUCAAAAGUAGUUGGCAAGUUUUCAGAGUUCAUUUUCAAGGCCUGGUGUAUGCAUUGGUUACAUGAAAACCGUGUGACAACCUUGGAAGUCUGAAAGAGCAGGAGAGAGGCUAAGCACACACAUAUUGUGAUUUUAAGAGUCUCAAGGUGAGAAGAAACAUCAGAAGCAGUUGAGAGACCAGGACGUGGGUCCUCAAAGGAUGAACAGAAGUUCUUUUGGAUAACAUUUUAAAAUGUUUCCUCCAGAGUUAUCUGCCUCAUUAACAAUGGUUUGAGUCUCAAGAGUCUCUCUUCGAUUUUACAAACAUGAUUUGUUGCUCUGCUAUAAAUGCAUGCUGCUCUAGUCCUUCAAUAAACCCACAACAUGUUUUCACCA